GAGUCCUACAAUUUAUAAUAAAUAGGUAGGUUGAUAAAAUGUAUAAAACAAAGUAAAAACAAAAGUCUAACGUCGCUAAAACCUUUUUUUUUUUUAUUGUUUUAGCCUUCUAGCCGUUGAGAUACCAUGGCAACCGCGUACACAUCAGCUGCUGGAGAGGAGAGGACUCGUCUGACAUUUUCUCUGUUUCUCGUCACUUAUACCAAAGAAAAGGUCAACAACUGCGACAGAUUGGUUAAGUAACACGUUAAUAUUAUCCACAGUCUACUUUAAGUACUUUUUGUUAAUAUUUAUACCUCUCUGAUUAUGGUAUUUUUCCUGAAAUGUCUGCUAGCAAGUAUUACGCUAGCGUAGAUACAUAAUUAACGUUAUAGCAUAUUAGAUUUGAGCUCUUAUUAAUGAAAGUUUGGGCUUUUAAUUACAUCUUAUGCGUAAAGGAUCAGUUUUGAUUGCUUUGUAAAUGUUUUUGAUGGUAAUUUGUCAAUAGAUAAAUGAAGUAACGUUAAGAUAAUUAAUUAAACCUAAAAGUCUGCACUGUAGAGUGUAUCAGUGACGUCACUUGCGGUCUAAAAUGGGCUGAAACUAUUUCAAACCACUGUUUCAAGCUUGUUCUGAUUUUUCAUUGUAAACAAAUAUUGAUAAAAAAAAUGUACAGUUAUUUUAGGAGUGUCUUAAAAACCCUCUAAAACAGAGGGGAAGUUCCAAGAAAAUUUCGAAUGGGAGCUGCUGACAGGUGAUCUGAUAAAGCUUAUUAAAUAACUUCAUAUUUAUUUUUUUACAAUAUAUCACCAUGCAUCUGUAAAAUCUAAACAUGUGAAUUCUGGUAUCUUAAGAUAUUUUUGUAUGUUUUCCAUAUUACUAUUUUUCUUUUCUGCAUUUCCCCUAUUCUCUAGUUUGUUUAUUUCUAAUAAGGAGCUGGAGGCCGUGAAGAAACAGAUCCACGAUAUCGUGGAGAAGCAGGCCCAGCUGAGCGAGUGGAGAGCUGUGGUGGAAACAUUCAGGGGUUGAUGCUCAUAAGUCCAGGGUAAGUAUACAGCUAACCCUCCUACCACCUCUACUCUGUGUGGUUCUCUGCAAAGGCCCGGUGUAAGCAGGACGCGAUCUUACCAGAUGUCCUUCACCCUAUAUCACAGUGUAAGACAUGAGCCAGGCCCUGGGCGACGACCUCUCUCCAUCCGCCGCCUCCGGUCUUCAGGAUCUCCGCCGGAAACCGAUUCGCUCUACUUCGCGAGACAGAACACGACGCUGUGAUCAUCGGAGACUCCAUCAUCCGGCACGUUCGUGCUAUGUUAGCUGAAGAUAAAGUCCACACUCACUGUUUCCCUGGUGCUCAUGUUCUGGAUAUUUCUGCACAGAUUCCCGUGAUUCUGAAGGGUGAGGGGAGCAUCGGAGCGGAUGUGCUUCACGCCGGGGUUAACGACACCUUGCUGCGGUAGACGGAGACACUGAAGAGGGACUUCAGGAGCCUGAUCAAGACGGUGCGCAGCAUAUCGUCUGCAUGAUGAUCAUCGUGUCAGGACCACUUCCCACGUAUAGAUGAGGACAUGAAAGGUUCAGUAGACUUUUUGCUUUAAACGAAUGGUUAUUGUCAUGGUGUAAAGAACAGAAACUGCUUUUUGUUAAUAAUUGGAAUCUUUUCUGGGAGCGUCCUAGGCUUUUUAGAUCUCCUGUUGGACAACAUCUCCCGGACACUUCGCUCCAUAUGACUAGGCAGUUUGUGAAGACAUAAUCAAGAGAAGUCAGUUCCAGGUCCACCUCCACACCAGACCUCUCUCUCAUAUGGAUGGCUGUCUACUAGCAUAUUGUGUUCUCUUCAGACUUCGGUGGAUGCAGAUAUUAUUCGGGGACAUGAACACUUGAAUAUUGCAAGAAUAGAGAAAGUAAGAAUUACUUAAGAUUUAAGAAUUUAAUUUUUUGUGGCAGUGUGAACUGGCCAUAAUGAUGUAUGAUAGGUGUGAGAUUUAUUAAACUUUAUUUGCUAUAAUACAUAUGCUGAUAAGCUAUUGCAUAUAUGAUAUUCAAUUAAUUAUUUGUAGUGGUUUGGUUAAGGGUGUGA